rnacentral:rRNA from 1 species
UUAAGCGACUAAGCGUACACGGUGGAUGCCCUGGCAGUCAGAGGCGAUGAAGGACGUGCUAAUCUGCGAAAAGCGUCGGUAAGGUGAUAUGAACCGUUAUAACCGGCGAUGUCCGAAUGGGGAAACCCAGUGUGAUUCGUCACACUAUCGUUAACUGAAUACAUAGGUUAACGAGGCGAACCGGGGGAACUGAAACAUCUAAGUACCCCGAGGAAAAGAAAUCAACCGAGAUUCCCCCAGUAGCGGCGAGCGAACGGGGAGCAGCCCAGAGUCUGAAUCAGCUUGUGUGUUAGUGGAACGGUCUGGAAAGUCCGACGGUACAGGGUGAUAGUCCCGUACACCAAAAUGCACAGGUUGUGAACUCGAAGAGUAGGGCGGGACACGUGGUAUCCUGUCUGAAUAUGGGGGGACCAUCCUCCAAGGCUAAAUACUCCUGACUGACCGAUAGUGAACCAGUACCGUGAGGGAAAGGCGAAAAGAACCCCGGCGAGGGGAGUGAAAAAGAACCUGAAACCGUGUACGUACAAGCAGUGGGAGCACCUUCGGGUGUGACUGCGUACCUUUUGUAUAAUGGGUCAGCGACUUAUAUUCUGUAGCAAGGUUAACCGUAUAGGGGAGCCGCAGGGAAACCGAGUCUUAACUGGGCGUUAAGUUGCAGGGUAUAGACCCGAAACCCGGUGAUCUAGCCAUGGGCAGGUUGAAGGUUGGGUAACACUAACUGGAGGACCGAACCGACUAAUGUUGAAAAAUUAGCGGAUGACUUGUGGCUGGGGGUGAAAGGCCAAUCAAACCGGGAGAUAGCUGGUUCUCCCCGAAAGCUAUUUAGGUAGCGCCUCGUGAAUUCAUCUUCGGGGGUAGAGCACUGUUUCGGCUAGGGGGUCAUCCCGACUUACCAACCCGAUGCAAACUACGAAUACCGAAGAAUGUUAUCACGGGAGACACACGGCGGGUGCUAACGUCCGUCGUGAAGAGGGAAACAACCCAGACCGCCAGCUAAGGUCCCAAAGUCAUGGUUAAGUGGGAAACGAUGUGGGAAGGCACAGACAGCCAGGAUGUUGGCUUAGAAGCAGCCAUCAUUUAAAGAAAGCGUAAUAGCUCACUGGUCGAGUCGGCCUGCGCGGAAGAUGUAACGGGGCUAAACCAUGCACCGAAGCUGCGGCAGCGACACUAUGUGUUGUUGGGUAGGGGAGCGUUCUGUAAGCCUGCGAAGGUGUGCUGUGAGGCAUGCUGGAGGUAUCAGAAGUGCGAAUGCUGACAUAAGUAACGAUAAAGCGGGUGAAAAGCCCGCUCGCCGGAAGACCAAGGGUUCCUGUCCAACGUUAAUCGGGGCAGGGUGAGUCGACCCCUAAGGCGAGGCCGAAAGGCGUAGUCGAUGGGAAACAGGUUAAUAUUCCUGUACUUGGUGUUACUGCGAAGGGGGGACGGAGAAGGCUAUGUUAGCCGGGCGACGGUUGUCCCGGUUUAAGCAUGUAGGCUGGUUAUCCAGGCAAAUCCGGAUAAUCAAGGCUGAGGUGUGAUGACGAGGCACUACGGUGCUGAAGUAACAAAUGCCCUGCUUCCAGGAAAAGCCUCUAAGCAUCAGGUAACAUCAAAUCGUACCCCAAACCGACACAGGUGGUCAGGUAGAGAAUACCAAGGCGCUUGAGAGAACUCGGGUGAAGGAACUAGGCAAAAUGGUGCCGUAACUUCGGGAGAAGGCACGCUGGUGUGUAGGUGAAGCCCCUGCGGGUGGAGCUGAGACCAGUCGAAGAUACCAGCUGGCUGCAACUGUUUAUUAAAAACACAGCACUGUGCAAACACGAAAGUGGACGUAUACGGUGUGACGCCUGCCCGGUGCCGGAAGGUUAAUUGAUGGGGUUAUCCGUAAGGAGAAGCUCUUGAUCGAAGCCCCGGUAAACGGCGGCCGUAACUAUAACGGUCCUAAGGUAGCGAAAUUCCUUGUCGGGUAAGUUCCGACCUGCACGAAUGGCGUAAUGAUGGCCAGGCUGUCUCCACCCGAGACUCAGUGAAAUUGAACUCGCUGUGAAGAUGCAGUGUACCCGCGGCAAGACGGAAAGACCCCGUGAACCUUUACUAUAGCUUGACACUGAACAUUGAGCCUUGAUGUGUAGGAUAGGUGGGAGGCUUUGAAGCGUGGACGCCAGUCUGCGUGGAGCCAACCUUGAAAUACCACCCUUUAAUGUUUGAUGUUCUAACGUUGGCCCCUGACCGGGGUUGCGGACAGUGUCUGGUGGGUAGUUUGACUGGGGCGGUCUCCUCCCAAAGCGUAACGGAGGAGCACGAAGGUUAGCUAAUCCUGGUCGGACAUCAGGAGGUUAGUGCAAUGGCAUAAGCUAGCUUGACUGCGAGCGUGACGGCGCGAGCAGGUGCGAAAGCAGGUCAUAGUGAUCCGGUGGUUCUGAAUGGAAGGGCCAUCGCUCAACGGAUAAAAGGUACUCCGGGGAUAACAGGCUGAUACCGCCCAAGAGUUCAUAUCGACGGCGGUGUUUGGCACCUCGAUGUCGGCUCAUCACAUCCUGGGGCUGAAGUAGGUCCCAAGGGUAUGGCUGUUCGCCAUUUAAAGUGGUACGCGAGCUGGGUUUAGAACGUCGUGAGACAGUUCGGUCCCUAUCUGCCGUGGGCGCUGGAGAAUUGAGGGGGGCUGCUCCUAGUACGAGAGGACCGGAGUGGACGCAUCACUGGUGUUCGGGUUGUCAUGCCAAUGGCACUGCCCGGUAGCUAAAUGCGGAAGAGAUAAGUGCUGAAAGCAUCUAAGCACGAAACUUGCCCCGAGAUGAGUUCUCCCUGAGACUUUAAGUCUCCUGAAGGAACGUUGAAGACGACGACGUUGAUAGGCCGGGUGUGUAAGCGCAGCGAUGCGUUGAGCUAACCGGUACUAAUGAACCGUGAGGCUUAACCUU